AUACAAAUAACCUAGGAACUUGUUGAAAUGCAGAUUCUGAACCAGGAGAUCAGAGGUAGAAGACCUCAUAAUCUACAUUUCUAACCACUUCCCAGGAAUGCCAAU
rnacentral:miRNA from 1 species